UCGCUCGCAUAUUAGCCACAAAUGACUAAGCGGGUAUAAUUUUUAUUUUUUCAUUUUCUUGAUACAAUUUCAAUUCAUCGUCCGCUCUUCCCUUUGGAUUAAUUAGACUGGGGAGUAAAAUACUUCCUAACUUCAGGCUGGCCAACAUCACAGUAAGCCCCGAUUCCUUCUUCCCCGCUUUAUGCGUCACUGGAGCUAGGCGCAUUCUCUGUUCCCUGAGAACCACUAUAGAAAUUGGAGGUCACAGAGAUGAGACAACCGUCACCCAUCCUGUGACGUGCCCGAAAAGACAAUGUUGCAAGUGGGCACUGUAACGAACAUCGAGGGAGCUGACGUUCAGGAUACAAUUACCAGUGUUAAUAUUUACCAACUGACGCCGACGACUAAUUGCUUUGUCUGCAACGUAAUGCGUUACCUUCAAACAUUUCAUGUUCUACUAGAUAACUAGACGCUCGGAGAAAUUAGCUUAUUAAGUGUGACAAGACGGUACUUAUUUAAUUGUGUUUGCGUACCAGAUGGUGCAAAAACAUUGCAAGUAAAUUAAUAUAUGUCGUUAAAAUAUAUAGUUUUAAGAGUCCUUGAAUUUAGAAAUAUACUGUGUAUUAGUUUAAUCAGUCAAAUAACGAUACGGUCGUUCUAAUUGACUGAUUAACAAUUUUGUUUGACUUCAUUUAAUAUUGUUUUGCAAUGCAUUCAAUAUGCAGUUACACAAAUCACCAUACAAUUGGAAUCAUGAUAAUUACUAAAGUACUGUAAGCUUAACAAUUUGUUUAUGAUUUGCUUUCAUAUUAUAAGACAUUAUUAAAGUUAAGCCUUACUGGAGGACCGGAGGUCCUGGGUUCAAUUCCCAGGUCGGGCCAAUAAAAUGCCAUUGGGUUUUUCUGUCAGAAAAUUCUCAGUAGCAACCCGGGGUCUGGAAGUUGGAAGUGUGUACACUCCCGUGCCUCGGAAAGCACGUAAAGCCGCUUGUCCUGCGCCUGAACUCUUCCGGCCGUGUCGGAUUACCGUCCCAUCGAAUUAUGAGAGCUAGGGAAUAGAGAGUGCACCUGUGUUUGUGCACACACUUGUGCACUAUAAUAUCUCCUGCGCAGUUGGCUAAUCUCUCUUGAUAUUGGUUUCCGUGGCCGAAAUUGGUCUGAAGGACGUAAGGUUAAUGUUAAGCCUGCAGCACAAAAUAAAAAAAAAAGAAAUUUCUACUGAAUGGCAUGCGAUUAGCGGUGAAGAAACUUAUUAGUUUAGUUUAUAUGAAGUAUAUAUGUAGUAUAUAAAUUAUUUAAUUCAAAGUCCAUCCCUUGUCAUCAAUCACAAACAUUUACAUAAGUUUGUUGCUAUAAAAUUAUACUAAAACAAUAAAGUAAAAUUGAUCUUUAAAUUAUUCAUAAGCACAGAAAGCGCUUGCUUAAAUCCUUGAGUCUCGUAAAUUAUUGUCGCAUUGUGUUCUGAUACAAUACAUAGCUGAACGCUUUGCGAAGGACAUGGGCCAUAAAAAAUUGGGCACAAGCCAAGCUCUAGCAUUUAAAGUUUGCCCGGCAGUAACAAUCGGAAAAUAACUUGCCUUCUAUGUAAAAUAUGUACAAUCUGUUCAAGCAGAAAUCUUUAAAAGCAAAAAAGCAAAGGCUUUAAUAAUAAAGCAUUUAUUUACGUGAAUAGUACACUUGCUUGACCAAGUGAGACUGGGUUACAUAUUACAAUCAAUCGUAUACCAUUUACAAGCUCGCCAUAUGAUCUGUUAUCCUCAUGCAAUAGGUACAAUAUAUUUUUUAAUUAUAAUAACAGCCAUAUUGGUCUAGACUCUUUUUACUGGUGGUAGGGUUUUGUGCAAGCUCAUCUGGGUACGUACCACCCAAUCAUUAGUUAUUCCAUACAAACAUCAAUACUUUGUAAUGUUUUGUUUCGGAAUUUUAUGUUUAAUUCAUAAAGUAAGUCGAGCAAAGGAACAUUUAUUACUAUCGCUGCUGUUACUUGUUACCCUUACCCUUCACAUAUUAUAGUAAGUGGCAUUGCAACGACAAUUGAAUCUAAAUUUCGACUCUUUCAUUGCGUCCAAAGUCCAAACAGCCGCUCGAAAGCGUGGUAUCCUCUCUAAGGUGAGACAUUACUUUACGCAAGAACAACUGCUCAGCUUGUAUAAAGUACAAGUAAGGUCAUGUAUGGAGCUGCUCUCUACUCAACGAGGCUGCCCUAAUAACAGUAUGUAUUAAUAAACAGUACAGAAUUUCAAAUAAACAAAAGAAAGAAGUUAAUGUUAUUUGUCUAAUGUAGAAUGUUUUAAUAUCUGCAACUCGCAUAUAAAGUUUGUGUUUCUGUUACAGUUUCUUGGAAAAAUCUAUAUAUAUAUAUAUAUAUCAUGUUGUUAAUAUCGAUGGCAACUUAUACACUUUUCAUACCUAAGAAAUAUGAUCGACUUAAAAAAAAAUCAAUAAUAAUACCAAGUUAAUCUUCAUACAAAAUUAGAUAAUUUUAUAGAUAAAAGGUAUUAUUAUUACAUUAUGGAGUUAAUUAUAAGCUCUGUCGGGAAGUUUCCUACG